rnacentral:rRNA from 1 species
UGGCGGACGGGUGAGUAACGCGUGGGCAACCUGCCCCAUAGAGGGGGACAACAGCUGGAAACGGCUGCUAAUACCGCAUAACAAGGAGAGAGCGCAUGUUCUUUUCUUCAAAGAUUUAUCGCUAUGGGAUGGACCCGCGUCUGAUUAGCUAGUUGGUGAGGUAACGGCUCACCAAGGCGACGAUACAUAGGGGGACUGAGAGGUCAACCCCCCACAUUGGUACUGAGACACGGACCAAACUCCUACGGAAGGCAGCAG